CUUCUCUGCAUCUUCUCUUCAUCUUCAUCUAUGCAUCUUCUCGCUUUAGAUGAUCCAAGAUCUAAUCUUCUCUUCUUAUGCGUUUAUACCUCUUAUCUCUUCAGGGUUCCUCUCACGCCAGCGACCAAACCGAUUUGACGAGAUGGCCGCUGUCUAUAGCAAGGUGCUGCUAGGGGAGGAUCAAGGUAAGGGAAUUCGAUUCCAACAAGCAGUACGCCUCGAAAAUAUUGGCAGUUCUGUUGCAGAGUAUCACGGCCAACCAGAAGAGUGUGGCAGAUGAACGGCAUGGAUCUGGUGCUUCAGGCGGUCACUAUGUACAAGUCCAAGGGCCCCAAAACUUCUGAUGAGGAGGAGAUGCUAGAAAACUUGUUCGAUUGUUUGUGUUGUUUGUUAAUGUCGUUGGAAAACAAGGAGAGGUUUGUGAAGUCUAAAGGUGUGGAAUUGAUGAUUAUCAUCCUGAAGCAGAAAAAGUCGGCUUAUGGGUCAGUCGUAAGGGCACUCGAUUUUGCAAUGACCAAGUAUCCGCCCGCCUGUGAACAUUUUGUGGAUGUUUUUGGAUGUUUUUGGCCUAAAGACUGUGUUUGUUGCUUUUAUGGGUAAGGUAAAGUAUUCUUACAACUAUUUAGGUUUUAUAUUUUAUCCUUUUUCUCAGUGCUCGACAAAG